ensembl:lncRNA
AUUGAAAGCUGCUUGCCUAGAAGAACAACUGCUCUUGAGAACUCUUGAGAGCAUGUGAAGAAAUCUGGAGUUGAUUUGUGUAAGAGGGAGGAACAAUCUGUUUCACUUCACCAGCAUUGUGCAGUUUCGAUGUUACAACAUCCACUUGUUAGAGAAGCUCUGUACAAAAGCUAAUGUUUCUUCAUGGCUAGAGGUGGGCUGAGGUUCCUUCAUCAGUUAAUUUCUGAAUGUUGGGUGUCUGAAGAACACUUCUGGAAACCAGAUUUGCAGGAGGGGAGAGCAAAAUACUUCAUGUUUCAGAAGAACCUAGACAGAUUUCUCCAAAUGCAUCUCUACUUGUUUGUCAUUCACACUGACGUAUGGACCCCCUUCCCUCCCCUCUUUUUGGUAAAGUGACAGGUAGGUUGUAUGAAAAGCCAUUCUAGGCAAUGUGACAAUUAAUGAGAAAAAUAAAGGUCACAUUCUAGCUUGAAGCAUGUUAUAUCUAUUUGCAUAUACAGUCAUGCUGUUAUACAAGUUGGACUUCAUGCUGUCUACAUUUAUACAUAAAAUUCCACUAACAAAUAACAUUGCAAAAAAUCUGAAAUUAUAGAUAUAAAUAAUAGAAUGCUAAUAAAACUUGCUAUUUUAUUUUUGUAACUGUACAGAGUCACCUGUUUAGGCUGGAAAUCACCUCUUGAGAUCAUCUAGUCCAACUCCGUAUAGGGAAUUCUGCAAUUAUUUUAAAUCCUUUUUAUUUCAAUUUAAUUUCUUCAUGAACUGAGAUCAAAUUGAUUUUGAAGGACUGUAUCACUACAUACAGUCACUGACAAUUUGCAACUGUUGUGCUUAGAUGUCUUUUUCAACCAAAACAAUACAAGGACCACUAAAGUCUGUAAUAAGACGUGAAUAAUGAUUUCACACAAAACAAGAUUCUUGAUCAUAAAAAGCUAAAUGACAGAAGGUUUUUUUUUUUGGCUAUUUAAAGUAUAAAAUAAGUAAAUCUUUCUUUAGUUUCCACAUCUAUUAUCUGAAGAUAAAACACAAGAAUUACAGCAAUACUAUAUGCAAAAUUGGUCAUUUAAAUCAUAACUCAUUGGUAAUGUUCACUUAUCUUACUAUAUUACUAAUCUACUAUUUUGUACUUGUGAUAAUUAGUUAUCAAAUUAAUCUUUAUAAUUCAGUCUCCUAAUUAAAUCAAGUUUUUUUUUUUAAUGGUGUUUAACAGACCUCCCGAGAACCUUAUUGCUGGAGCAACGUAGCGAACUUACAACAUGUCAGGCAUGAGCCUGAGCAUACACUGCCACGACUGCCUUACUAAUCACCUGCUGUCAGUCUGACACAGAGCUCCACCUACUUGGAUAGACAUCUAAUAAGGCACUAAGAUCUAUCUGUAGCCAGAGGGAUAAAACUGAGUUCACCUCUAACCUGUAGGACAGGUGUGUACAAACUUCAAAAGCAGAAUAAAGAUCAAUUAUACCGCUAAUGAAAAUCCAAUGGAUGACUAUAAAUAGUCUACAUGGGAGGCAAACCAAGGUAGAGAUGUACACAUCCGCUAGAGGAUAAACACUUUCUGGUAUGAACUUUGGCCAUUCUACCAUUUCUUUCAGGACUUUUGAAAAUAACAAAAUAUCUGGAGAUGGAGAAACAAUUGAUGGAGAAACAAGUCCAGUAGAGCUGCAUCUUCAUCUGUAACAGAGAUGUGGUUUGCAAGCUUCCUCAGUAACAGAGACUUUCCAGACUAUUCUAGAGUGGGUAGAAAGAAAGCUGACUAUUUUGGCAUACCUGGUUUCAUGGUUCCAUGGUGGCUUUCUUUAAUCAAAACAAAAUCAUAAAAACUCAGGGGAACUUUUCCUUGUCUUUCCUCAAUUAAGUUUUCUUUAUAGUUGCUGCCGCAACCUGUUUUUUAAGCAUAUUGUCACACCAUACUAAAUGUUUGUUACCACAUAACAAAAUGGUAUUGCUAUGUAUACUGGACAGUAGAGUACGCUCUGUGGGAUACUUCUGCAUUUCUCCACCCCUCAAGCUGCUGGGGAAACAGUUCUUGAGUAGUGUCAGGAUGUCAAAGUGAGGGCUAAAAACCCGAGAGAGAACUAUCACACCUUCAGUAAAAACAAAAACCUGUCAUCACUAUAACAACCUUUCCAUAAUCGAAUUAUGAAAGAGACACUCAAAAAGUGAAAACUCUGUGAAACUUCCAGAUACACAUUUUAACAAAUACAAUACCUAAAAAGACAACGUUAACACUUAGUGAUCAUCUUUAUUUACAAACUAGAAAUAAAUUCCAUAACAUAAAAGCGCCUAUUUGAGAAAGCAGCCUUGACAUCUCUAAGUCACAGGAAAAGUUGUAAUGUAUGUAUGUGGAAACUUCUCAUGUUCAGGAUGAACAGGAACAUCUAUGCUCCUAAAUUGGAUCUGCACAAAGAUAAACUGAAUAUACAGAAAAUCUGUUGUUUCUUCUCCUUGUAUUUCAGUUAGAAUCAGAGAGCAAGCACAAACCACUUCAAGCAACAAUCUGAGAUUAUUAGAACGGUAAAACAAUUUCCAAACACCUCAAAUUAAUCUGCAAUAACUUUUUCAAAUCAAUUACUCAAUUUUGCCCCUACACUAUUAGUGAACUUCACACAGUAACUCCUUGCACCACCCCAACUCUCUGGUCUAUCCAACACACUGACUUUUUUGAAUGCAAAACACUAAUUGACUUCUAAAAGCCAGAACUAGGGAAAGACUGCAUUACUUUCAAUAGAGUAAUUUAGUUCUUGUCAGAAUCCUGAACCCAAACUGCUGCCCAAGCUAUUCUGAGAGCAAAAAUGACUAAUAAAAAAAAUGUUUCUGCAUACUUACAGUGAGAUUCAGAUGCCUAUACGAGAGCUUGCAGCAGCUGUUUUGGAUGUCCUCAAGAUGUAAGAAGGUCCCAGACAGAGCAGGCCGAUGUGAUGGAGGAUGAAAGAAAAUUGACCUUCUGGAGAUUUGAUUGGGCACCAAGCAGGACAACAUGAGGCAAGUGAAUCCUAACCUUUAUUGUGUUCAUAUUCUCCUAAUGAAAAAAUGCUGUAAUUCAGCAUUAAUAAUGAGAUACAGCAUUAGCUAAACAAGAUCAUACGAUCUUGUGUGAAGCAACUGUACCUCAAAAUCAGCUCUAGUGACAGUCAAAGUGGGACUUACAAUACACCAGUCUACAACUUCCAACAAAGGUGGCACAAGCCUUGCGAUACUUCCUGUAUCUGCGAGGAGAUCUCAAAUCCAUCCAUACAAGGUACAGUGGCACUGUUAUACUUGGCUUUCAUCCUAGCAACUUGAAGCACUUCAUUACAAAAUGUUUCACAGCUUCUGAAGAGUAUAAAACACUGAAAUGAGCUAUCGGGCAUAUUUCAUCUACUACUAGCUGGUAUAUUCCAGGAAAGACCUCUUAUUCUCAAUAGUGGGUAGAAGCAGCAAAUGGGAGAGAGUAAAGCAUCUGCAUACAAAAGCCAGUUUAAACUUCCUAAAGUGGGGAGAAAAAAAAACCACAAAAAUAUGAUGAGAUUGAAAACUUUCUUUUUCUUUAAUGCAAUAGUAGCUAUGAAUAGAUAAAGCAGCCUGCAAGCUUCUGACCAUACUGUAGCACGGGAGGAUAACUGCCUUGCAUGGGAAAUCAAUGAUGCUGUAGCACUGCACUUUUGCUUUGGAGGAACACUGCUGGAAGCACCUAAGAUUCAUAUUGCUCACUGCCUUUCUUUCCUCACUCCAGAUAUGUCUCUUAAUUUUCCACCACUAGGUAAAUAAUAAAGGACCUGCAUAUAACAGAGAUUUAAUAAAUAGCAAAGAUGUGGGAUAUAUGAAAGAUUGAGUGCAAAAAAAAAAAAGAUUCUGGAUCUGUUCAAUUAGUUUGAUUAUAUUUUAUUAGAAAGCUCAGCCAAUACAAAUGAUUCUUGUUCACUACCAGCCAGUUUAAAGUGUGGUGUUUCAUUGUAAUUCAUAUAGAUGUUUUCUGUCCAGUUAAAUAUAAACUCCUUGGGUAAGUACUGCUACUUUUCGUGUAUUGAAUGUUAAGAAGCAUAAGCAGCACCAGCAAUGCUUCAGUGUAAGUCAAUAUACAUACACGUUUACAUUUCAGACAUUAAAAGGAAAAAUUAAAUUAAUGUACCAGUUGCAUUUUAAGCUCUACUUGCUUUUAGUAGUAAUUGAGAUGAAUGGUUAAUUUAAAUCUAUUUCCAAAGUUAAGGCUGAAAGCAUUUCAUUUAUAUUCAACAAUAACCAACAUAGUAUGGCAUUUUACCAAAACAUGGGACACCUCAAAAACAGAAGACUUAUUCGAUUUCUUGUUGACAGAAUUGACAGCUCUUUGCUACUGUUGUUGCCAAAAUGAAUAUGCUAAUUUACUUUUUAAUUCUGUAGCAAGUGUGAAAAUACUCCACUGUGAAAAAUAAAAAUACUUUUUUAUUAUGUAUCUUAAACGGAAAUGUCUUCGAACAUUGUAUUUUUAGUUAUACAUAGUGAAUAAAAAAGCUGCUGGUGGCAGUAUUUUUAAGUAGCUGACUUCAUGACUUAAUUAAAUGCAGAACAGUAUUCUGGAUAAGUUUAAAGUAGAUAGCUAACGUAAAUCAGAUGAUAAAACUGGCGUGCAUGAAACAAAUAAUGGCUAAGACAUCUUAAUAUUCUCAAUUUCUAUAUAUCUUACUAUUGUAAUCUUAACUUGAGCAUGUGUUAACUGGGCAGACAUAUUCAGCAAUGGUCUUCUCGGAGCCUCCACAGAGCUAGGCAGCACAUAAUCACCACUGCUCUCACUUCUGUAAUCCGCAGCACAGGCAGGCUACGUGUUGUUUUCAUAUAGGAGUUCUCCAGAAGAGACAAACCAGAAGCCAUUUGAAAUUCUGCCCUACUGAAACCUGCAGUUGUAUUGCUACUGUAGUACUUCUGUGGCUUUAUGGAUGGAAAACAGAAUACGUACCACUCUGACUAAACCUAUGGGACUGGAAACAUUAGAAGUGCACAUGCUGUAUUUCAAGAGAGUCUUUUUCUUUUAAUGAACAAGUACGAAUAUUGAUUACCCAAACAGCAAAAUGUACAAAACAAUGCAUGUGUUUGCAAGUUAGAAGAUAGAGGAAAGUUUAUGAGGUUAGAGGUAAAAAAAUACUUUUUAAAUGUGUAUGACUCAAAUAUAUUCUGUGAAAAUUGUAUUUUUCACUGUAGCUUUUAAAUUUAAGUGCUGUUAAGAACAAGAAACAAAAUAGAUAAAUUUUAUGUUCAAUAUAUCUCAAUUUUGUCUUCUCUACAUAAUUGUUGGUAAUAUUUUUUCUAUGCUGAGAUUUCUUUCUUUCCCUCUUUCUUCCUGUUUUCUGCCAGAAGUGGCAUAUGAGAAACAUCAUUUUCAUCUUGCACUGAAGAACGUGAAAUGAAGCCAGUGCAAACCCUACUUCUCUAGAAGGUUCUAGUUCACUAUAGAGGUUUUUUCAGGAGCCUGGCAGAACUAUCACUCUCUCUGGGUACAGAUAUCUUUGCUCAGUGCUAGAACUUUCAUCUUUUCUGAAUAAAAGUCCAUGUAUCAGGACAUAAAGAAGCAGUAUGUACAGACACUGCACAUCAGUGGAAAUUACCUACUUAAAGUAAAAUAUAGUAGGUCAUCUGUGGUAAUAUUGAACACUGAUGGAACACACCCUACAAUGUACUGAUGUGUAUCUUUGUCGUGCAUAACUAUGACUAUUUGGUACUCACAGGGAAGCCAAACACAGGGAAUAGCCAUCCCUUCACUAACUACUGAGAGUUAAAUGAAAUGAUUAAUACUUAACAAAACAGUUCCAUAGAUAGGUACACCUGGCAUAGAGAGUAGAUAGGUAAGUUUUUAGCAUGAACAUUUAAAGAACUUGAAGUGGUCAUUGGAACAAACUCACAUACGCGCUACUAUGGCUUCUGUUUGAAAAGUUAGCUGUCAGUAUGGCUUAACAUCAAAGGAAAUAGCUUUUCAACAGUUGUCAAGCAUCACAGACUCUGAAUAUUGUUGAUGUUCUUGAUAUUUUCAGUCUGGCUCUAGACAUUACUCUGUUCAUAUUUUAGUCACCUUGGAGAGAUGAAUGAAUUUCAGAUAUCCAUCUGGUAGUGGCCUCAUCUACUGCAUCACAGUUACAGCUGCUACUGUCUUGUACACUGUGAAUGAAUCGACAACAGUCCUGGAGUAGUAUUUUUCCUCGGAUGACUGUAAGGGGUAAGGGAAGAACUGCUUCCUUUCCUGAAGAAGGGUAAUAUAGCACGUUGUUGCCUUCCCGUUAUAGAAAGCAUUUCAGGAAGCUGAUGACAUCCAACUGUAUAUGCCUACGAUUAUGUCAACAGAGAUGCUUUAACUAAAAGAAUGUUUCCCAGUAGUCAUCAGCCUUCAGCACUCCUACUUCCCAAGCUGCUAUCAGAUAUGAACACUAUAGCAGCAAUUGAAUUUGCUUUUUACGAUCAGUGCAAGGCCUUUAUUGCUGUAGACAGACUGCUGCUGGCAUUAUCAUAUUUUUUCUUAUUUCAAGAUUAGAUUAAUGCAAUAAAACUUCACCUUUAAAAAUAAGCUGCCGGAGAAUACUACAGUUUAUAUGACAUGAGAAAGACUACCUAGAUAAAAUGCAGGAAUUAAAGAUAAGGACCUCUACUCGUGUUCAGACAGAAACUAAUGAGUUAUGUAGUUACCCGAAGAACCUUGACAAGUCAUAGGACCUGUUCAGUGUCCAACAAACAAACUAAAACAACAACAAACAUGCCUGCCCCCACCACUACUAUACAAUCUCCCUCCCAACCCACAAGCCCUAUUUACCCAGCCCUGCCCCCUCUCUAUUUCUUCCCUCCUGGGAAACUCCAAAGUUCAAUCCAAAGCAGGAGUAUUUCUGCUUCCUCUGUAGAUGAGGUUGCAGGCAGGCCAGUCUUCUUGGGAGCUAUACCUUCACUUAGCUCUUGAAGCAGAACUAAUUCAACCUUCAUCUCCGAUGCAUUCUUAAUCCCCCUUUCCUGGUAGUGUAGGAAGGUGGAGGAAGAUAGAACACAAGGUAUGCAGAAAGGCUUUUAUGUAGAUUUUCUGUUUUUGCAGGAUAGUUGAUGAAGAAAGAUGUCAUACUGAUUUACUUAUUUAAAACUAAUGGUGCGUUAUCUACAUUUUGUCACAGCAUUCAGCUUUUCCAAGGGCAUUUUUCCAAUGAUUUAAAUUCAGACUUCAGGCACUCAUGACAAAAUAAAAGAUGAGAGGUAUUCCCUAAGUCAUUUAUCCUUAAUUACGCAGGCAGCCUCAGCAUGUAGCUCUGCCUCCAUUUUUGUACCGUUCAGAUUAGAAAAACAAUUCAGAUUAAGGCAUGGCAAAGCAGAGCUUGAAUUUGCAUUGAAAUGCACGAGUGAUUCCAGUAACUGCUGGUGUGCAACAUCUUAUUCACCAGUAAAUAAAUGGAAAAUAGCUUAGUAUAAGAUGUAUUGUUCUCAGUAGGCAAGACAACGGACAUUUAUUUCGUAUCUCCUGUUGGUAUUUCUUACCUUAUAUUGUGUGCUCACUUCAUCUGCUCAUAUCCAAGCAGUGGAAGCACUUUAUGUGCAGGAAGCAAUAAUGAAGCGGUAUGGGACAGCUGUACCGAAUCUUCUGAAAAAAAAAAGUCUCCAUAUGCUAUUUUUAGUGUCAGAAUUGGCAGUCCAAAAUAAUCCCUCUGACAUUAUCUAAGUUCACCUAAUUGUAAGACACAGCCUGCAGUCUGACACAGGCGGCCUCAAUCAGAUCAGAGCACUCAGUGAGCAGUUUUCCCACUCGCUGGUCAAAAACUAGCAGAUCAAUAAAGGGCUACAAAAAUGCACCACCCUUCAGGCUGGUCCGUAAUAAGCAGAAGAGGACGACAGUUUAGGUCGGCACGUAAGGUUUGGUUUUGCUCAUCGGGCUUUUAAAACAAGAGAGGAAUGGAGCAAACACAACCUUGUUAUUAAAUGGAAGCAGCACUGUGUCACCAUCCAUAGCCACGCUGCAGGGUGCUGCAACAGAGGGACCAGCGACCCACGUUUAAAGAAAGCAAAACAAAACAGUAGCCUGCGAAGCUGCUACUCUCUUUGAUAAUAGAGGUGAUAACAAAAAAAAAAAAAAAAACGACGGAAGCAAUAAAAGUCUUAUCUUACAAAAACCAUUAAAUUUUACUUUACAUAAAGCAAACCCGGAAGUGCAAUACAAAUUAUUGUGUCUGGAUAAAGAGUUGUACGUGUUUAAAUGAGAACGAUCCAACAGACGCUGGAAGGACAGCAGACACCCAAGGCACUCUCACUACGAUGGGAACUACGCUUUCUCUGCAUUCUCGCCCACGCUUUGUGUCGAGAAGCGGGACAGCAGCUCGGCAACACCCAGUAACGCCGCACACCAGUCAGGAAGGCAUCGCGGCGCUGCUUUCGGUGCUGGAAGCACUAUUCACCCUGACUUAACCCAGCGCUUUCAUCUUCUUCAAAUGCCGCGCAGCACGCGUGGAAAUAACAGGCGAAUUCUUUGGGAGUUCCAAGCGGUACGUCCGCUUUUACGCUCCUAGCAGAACCGACUGUUUCCAGCCAGCUAAACGAAGCGUGAAGCGGUUUUUACUGCGCUUUAUGACCGCUUACUGCACGCCGCCUCAUCGCCUCAGCGACGGCCUCGCAGGGAAGCGGCGCGCGCAAAGCCGCGCAGAGCCCCGCGUCCCGCCGCCCGCCCGCCAGAAGCGGAGAUGCCGGGGUCCCUCUGCGGCCCCCGACGCCGCAGGCGGACAUUAAACGGCUCCCAACGGCGAGAGGACGGCGGCCCGGCUGAGGAGCCGGAGAGGAGGGUGGCUCGCUGCAGCCCCUUCUCCGCGCCCUUUACCCCGAGGCCGAGAGUCCCCACGCGCCGUCCCGUACCUCAGCCCGCGCCGCUCCCCGCUCCAGUCGCGCGGCCGCUUUAAGGAUUACAAAUCGCUCCUCGCGCCGCGCCGCCGCGCGCACCGUUGCCCCCCC